rnacentral:pre_miRNA from 1 species
AAAACAUUCGGACCGUCGGUCUACCCAGAAAUAUCACCCGGUUGGUGGAAGAUCUUCCCUUUGUCGU